CGAACAGUUUGCAACCGCAAGGGUUGUGGAAAUGAGAAACCAGCUUCUGAUGAGUAAAAAACUUGGUCAUUGUUGUAUGAAUGAUUUCACCAUAAAUCCACUAUUCUACCAUGUAAUAAUGGAAGUUUUUGGAUCAUUCUAUAUUAUUACUUAAAAUACUAACAACCCUAAAGCCACCACCAAUACCCAACACUUCCCCACACAAAAGUUGAGGACUUCUCAAAUAUAAAUGGGUGUUUCUGGGGCUUUUGUAUUCUCCCCCCCUCUUUUAUGCUAUUCAUGAGUGCACAAGCUCAAAAUGUAGCUUUUAAAUGGCUUAAAACUGAGGACUUAAAUCUUUUUCUUUUUAAUCAUCACACAUUCCUUGUUUUCCUAGAGGGAGAAAUUCUAUACUGGAAAACGUAAUGCUUUUAGGAGAAUUGAAUUGCCUCCUUGGCAUGAAGCUGAUUGUCUUUGUUCUUCAUUUUCCCAUUUCUUUAUCAGUAUUAUUUUUUGUCAUUGUCUGAUAUCAAGUAGAGUCAACUUCGAAUUUAGAAGCUCUGGGUCUUAUUAAUGUCUAACACAAUAAUUGAACAGUAGCAGAAGAAGUAGAGACUAAAGCGUCUAAAAGAAGAAUAUCCAAAGAGAAACAUCCAGCAAGGUUGCUCCAUGGUGCCUUCCAAGAUGGCCUUCUCCCUCAAUAAGGAAAGGCGCCCAGAAGCUGCCAUCCAUCAUUUGCCACCUCCACUUUGUCUUAAUCGACAACUUGAAGGGCUUAAGUUCUUGCGUAACAAUGCAAAGAGAAUUAGUCAAAAUGAACAUCAAGGGAGUGUAUGUAAUCCCCAUCUCUCCGGUCCGGCAGCAAGUUUUAUAGUAGCGGGGGCUAAUGACUUCAAAAUAGAUAAUAUUUGUUCAGUUGUGAUGGAUACAAUUGGAGUUAAUUCUUGUUGAAAGCAUGGAACUUUAAAAAUCUACCUAUGAAUUCUAUGGAGGGUUUGAGUAAAAAUAAAAAAUAAAAAAUAAAAAUUCAGAAGGUACCUGUGCUGUGAGUUCAUGAGUUCAUACUCCUCCUGGCCCUAAUAUUUCCCAUAUGGACCUUAACAUUGAAAAUAACAUAGAGAAGAGAAGACACCCCAACACUUAGACAUUGAACUACAUUGUGUUGUUGUACACUUAGUUGAUAUAUGGUUUUGCCAUUAAUCUCUCUCUCUC
rnacentral:lncRNA from 1 species